CUCCAGCAAUGUCAAUUCCUCCAUCUUAGUGAACCAGAGGGAUAUGUCCUGUUUCCAGAACAGUCUGGCCAAGGUUAAUAUUUGUAUGGUGAAGGAUUUCUUAUACUGGAAGGUUGGAGUAUUGUGAGGUGCAGGAGGUAAGGAGCCGGUCAGAAAGCUGGAGGGUUGUCAGAGAACUUCAGCAGUAUAGUUUGUAUUUUCCUCCAAUAAGGUAAUGUAAAGGGUCAU